rfam:Picea glauca, whole genome shotgun sequence.
GGKUGUGAUCAUACCAUCGUUAAUGCACYGUAUCCCAUCAGAAMUCUGCUGUUAAGCGUGCUUAGGAUAGAGUAGUACUGGGAUGGGUGACCUCUCGGGAAGUCCUAGUGUUGCACCCU